UGCCAGACUCCUACGGGAGGCAGCAGUGGGGGAUAUUGGACAAUGGGGGAAACCCUGAUCCAGCGAUGCCGCGUGAGGGAAGAAGGUUUUCGGAUUGUAAACCUCUGGGGACAGGGACGAUAAUGACGGUACCUGUCAAGAAAGCCACGGCUAACUACGUGCCAGCAGCCGCGGUAAUACGUAGGUGGCGAGCGUUGUCCGGAAUUACUGGGUGUAAAGGGAGUGUAGGCGGGAAGGCAAGUCAGAUGUGAAAACUAUGGGCUCAACCCAUAGCCUGCAUUUGAAACUGUAUUUCUUGAGUGCUGGAGAGGCAAUCGGAAUUCCGUGUGUAGCGGUGAAAUGCGUAGAUAUACGGAGGAACACCAGUGGCGAAGGCGGAUUGUUGGACAGUAACUGACGCUGAGGCGCGAAAGCGUGGGGAGCAAACAGGAUUAGAUACCCGAGUAUC
rnacentral:rRNA from 1 species